GAUGAACGCUGGCGGCGUGCCUAAUACAUGCAAGUCGAGCGAACGGACGAGAAGCUUGCUUCUCUGAUGUUAGCGGCGGACGGGUGAGUAACACGUGGAUAACCUACCUAUAAGACUGGGAUAACUUCGGGAAACCGGAGCUAAUACCGGAUGAUAUUUUGAACCGCAUGGUUCAAAAGUGAAAGACGGUCUUGCUGUCACUUAUAGAUGGAUCCGCGCUGCAUUAGCUAGUUGGUAAGGUAAUGGCUUACCAAGGCAACGAUGCAUAGCCGACCUGAGAGGGUGAUCGGCCACACUGGAACUGAGACACGGUCCAGACUCCUACGGGAGGCAGCAGUAGGGAAUCUUCCGCAAAGGGCGAAAGCCUGACGGAGCAACGCCGCGUGAGUGAUGAAGGUCUUCGGAUCGUAAAACUCUGUUAUUAGGGAAGAACAUAUGUGUAAGUAACUGUGCACAUCUUGACGGUACCUAAUCAGAAAGCCACGGCUAACUACGUG
rnacentral:rRNA from 1 species